CUACGGGACGCAGCAGUGGGGAACAUUGCGCAAUGGAGGAAACUCUGACGCAGCCAUGCCGCGUGAGUGAAGAAGGCCCUAGGGUUGUAAAACUCUUUCAGUCGUGAAGAUGAUGACGGUAACGACAGAAGAAGCACCGGCUAACUCCGUGCCAGCAGCCGCGGUAAUACGGAGGGUGCUAGCGUUGUUCGGAUUUACUGGGCGUAAAGGGCGCGUAGGCGGAUAAAUCAGUCAGAGGUGAAAGCCCCGGGCUUAACCUGGGAACUGCCUUUGAUACUGUUUAUCUAGAGUCCGAGAGAGGGUGGUGGAACUCCAAGUGUAGAGGUGAAAUUCGUAGAUAUUUGGAAGAACACCAGUGGCGAAGGCGGCCACCUGGCUCGGUACUGACGCUGAGGCGCGAAAGCGUGGGGAGCAAACAGGAUUAGAUACCCUCGUAGUC
rnacentral:rRNA from 1 species